rnacentral:rRNA from 1 species
GAGUUUGAUCNUGGCUCAGGACGAACGCUGGCGGCGUGCCUAAUACAUGCAAGUCGAGCGGACAGAUGGGAGCUUGCUCCCUGAUGUUAGCGGCGGACGGGUGAGUAACACGUGGGUAACCUGCCUGUAAGACUGGGAUAACUCCGGGAAACCGGGGCUAAUACCGGAUGGUUGUNUGAACCGCAUGGUUCAGACAUAAAAGGUGGCUUCGGCUACCACUUACAGAUGGACCCGCGGCGCAUUAGCUAGUUGGUGAGGUAACGGCUCACCAAGGCNACGAUGCGUAGCCGACCUGAGAGGGUGAUCGGCCACACUGGGACUGAGACACGGCCCAGACUCCUACGGGAGGCAGCAGUAGGGAAUCUUCCGCAAUGGACGAAAGUCUGACGGAGCAACGCCGCGUGAGUGAUGAAGGUUUUCGGAUCGUAAAGCUCUGUUGUUAGGGAAGAACAAGUGCCGUUCAAAUAGGGCGGCACCUUGACGGUACCUAACCAGAAAGCCACGGCUAACUACGUGCCAGCAGCCGCGGUAAUACGUAGGUGGCAAGCGUUGUCCGGAAUUAUUGGGCGUAAAGGGCUCGCAGGCGGUUUCUUAAGUCUGAUGUGAAAGCCCCCGGCUCAACCGGGGAGGGUCAUUGGAAACUGGGGAACUUGAGUGCAGAAGAGGAGAGUGGAAUUCCACGUGUAGCGGUGAAAUGCGUAGAGAUGUGGAGGAACACCAGUGGCGAAGGCGACUCUCUGGUCUGUAACUGACGCUGAGGAGCGAAAGCGUGGGGAGCGAACAGGAUUAGAUACCCUGGUAGUCCACGCCGUAAACGAUGAGUGCUAAGUGUUAGGGGGUUUCCGCCCCUUAGUGCUGCAGCUAACGCAUUAAGCACUCCGCCUGGGGAGUACGGUCGCAAGACUGAAACUCAAAGGAAUUGACGGGGGCCCGCACAAGCGGUGGAGCAUGUGGUUUAAUUCGAAGCAACGCGAAGAACCUUACCAGGUCUUGACAUCCUCUGACAAUCCUAGAGAUAGGACGUCCCCUUCGGGGGCAGAGUGACAGGUGGUGCAUGGUUGUCGUCAGCUCGUGUCGUGAGAUGUUGGGUUAAGUCCCGCAACGAGCGCAACCCUUGAUCUUAGUUGCCAGCAUUCAGUUGGGCACUCUAAGGUGACUGCCGGUGACAAACCGGAGGAAGGUGGGGAUGACGUCAAAUCAUCAUGCCCCUUAUGACCUGGGCUACACACGUGCUACAAUGGACAGAACAAAGGGCAGCGAAACCGCGAGGUUAAGCCAAUCCCACAAAUCUGUUCUCAGUUCGGAUCGCAGUCUGCAACUCGACUGCGUGAAGCUGGAAUCGCUAGUAAUCGCGGAUCAGCAUGCCGCGGUGAAUACGUUCCC